rnacentral:rRNA from 1 species
AACGAACGCUGGCGGCGUGGAUAAGACAUGCAAGUCGAACGAGAGAAUUGCUAGCUUGCUAAUAAUUCUCUAGUGGCGCACGGGUGAGUAACACGUGAGUAACCUGCCCCCGAGAGCGGGAUAGCCCUGGGAAACUGGGAUUAAUACCGCAUAGAAUCGCAAGAUUAAAGCAGCAAUGCGCUUGGGGAUGGGCUCGCGGCCUAUUAGUUAGUUGGUGAGGUAACGGCUCACCAAGGCGAUGACGGGUAGCCGGUCUGAGAGGAUGUCCGGCCACACUGGAACUGAGACACGGUCCAGACACCUACGGGUGGCAGCAGUCGAGAAUCAUUCACAAUGGGGGAAACCCUGAUGGUGCGACGCCGCGUGGGGGAAUGAAGGUCUUCGGAUUGUAAACCCCUGUCAUGUGGGAGCAAAU